CAAGAAAAAUAUCAGUUGCAGAGGAGUGAAUAAAGAGAGUGUGCUGUGGAGGAAGCAGUUGAACUACAAUAAAUCAGGAGACUGAGGCCUUGUGAGCGAUGCCCCAAACGGAUUCAGCGUGAGGAUUCGUAUCCCAGACCGGAGCUGUUCUGGUCAGACCCAUUGCACGUUUGCAGCUGAGGCUCGGAUCUGCUUUACACAGCCUGUGAGAUGCAUCAUGACCAAAGCACUAAGCAAUAAAAUUCAGGCCAGGUGGACCUCUCCUGCAACCUGGGGUCGCACUUCCCCUGCACUGAGCUCGGGAGCUUUGCUUGCCAGGCCUUCAUUUAAUGACCCUGAAUAGCUCAACGAACCAUUACGUGAGUGCAGGUGAUACCGGUGUAGCGUGCUGUGCUGUUAGGAGCGGAUCCCGCUGCGGAUAGGAGACCUGGAGCAGCCGCUACCAGGUCUGGCAGUGAACUGCUUUCCCCUCUUUGGGGCAGGUGUCUCCUCUGUGGUUCCGUCUUGUCCCUGGAGGGAAAAAGGCACAUCUGGAGCAACCUCGAGCAGCAGCCAGUGCUCCUCUGAUGGACUUUUAGGGGGGACCUAGCUACCAGUGGAGACACGGGGCCAUGCCGUGUCAAGGGAGAGAGGGCUAUUUAUAGCUGAGAAAACCGAAAAGAUAGGUCUUGAAAAUAAGCAGGUUAUAAAGAUCAGUUGAAUAUUGCCAUUUUCCUCUAUAAGACGACUUUUGUUAAAACAGAAAGGCACAGUCUUUAAUAUAUGUCUAUAUUUUGCUGGCAAGGCCUGAAUCUUAGUGUUUGCUGAAAGCACAGCAAUCCUUCUACAAAAAUUUGUUUCAUAGCUGUUGCUGCUUGUAUCUACUUAGGAGUUAAAUUGCAAAAACAUUUUCAAAUAAAUCCCUCUUUUGUAUGUGCUUCUAAAUAAAAAAGAUAAAAACUC